rnacentral:rRNA from 1 species
GACGAACGCGGGCGGCGCGCCUAACACAUGCAAGUCGAACGAGCGAGAGAGAGCUUGCUUUCUCGAGCGAGUGGCGAACGGGUGAGUAACGCGUGAGGAACCUGCCUCAAAGAGGGGGACAACAGUUGGAAACGACUGCUAAUACCGCAUAAGCCCACGGCUCGGCAUCGAGCAGGGGGAAAAGGAGCAAUCCGCUUUGAGAUGGCCUCGCGUCCGAUUAGCUAGUUGGUGAGGUAAUGGCCCACCAAGGCGACGAUCGGUAGCCGGACUGAGAGGUUGAACGGCCACAUUGGGACUGAGACACGGCCCAGACUCCUACGGGAGGCAGCAGUGGGGAAUAUUGCACAAUGGGGGAAACCCUGAUGCAGCGACGCCGCGUGGAGGAAGAAGGUCUUCGGAUUGUAAACUCCUGUUGUUGGGGAAGAUAAUGACGGUACC